GCCCGGCUAGCUCAAUCGGUAGAGCGUGAGACUCUUAAACCGCCCUCUUAAGGUGACAUCUCAAGGCUGCGGGUUCGACCCCCGCGUUGGGCU